rnacentral:rRNA from 1 species
GACGAACGCUGGCGGCGUGCUUAACACAUGCAAGUCGAACGGAAAGGCCCUGCUUUUGUUGGUUUCUCGAUUGCCGAACGGGUGAGUAACACGUGAGUAACCUGCCCUUGUCUUUCGGAUAACUUCACGAAACUGGGGCUCAUACCGGAUAUGAUCUCCUGCUGCAUGGUGGUGGUUGGAAAGUUUCGGCGGUUCGGGAUGGACUCGCGGCUUAUCCGCUUGUUGGUGGGGUAGUUGCUUACCAAGGCUUUGACGGGUAGCCGGCCUGAGAGGGUUAACGGGCACAUGGGGACUGAGAGACGGCCCAGAAGCGUACGGGAGGCAGAAGGGGGGAAUAUGGCACAAUGGGCGGAAGUGUGAGGCAGAAACGUCGCGUGCGGGAUGACGGCCUUCGGGGUGUAAACCGAUUUCGAAUGUGACGAAGAGUGAGUGACGGUAAUGGGUAAAGAAGCAACGGCUAACUACGUG